rnacentral:lncRNA from 1 species
GUAAUGUUCUCCCAUAAGCAAGAUCCGCGUUUUGAAGUCACAAGCCCUGGAAAGUACCCACAGGGAAUAAAAGUAUGUUUCUCGGAUUUGCUCCUCAGCCUGAAGCGAGAGGAGGAGACGGUCUCUCUGUAGUGUCUUUUGUGGAUGGUGCCUUGGACCUGCAUUGCACAGCAGCCCUGCCCUGCUCCCUUCUACACCCCAGAUGCUUUCCUCACCAAAAUCACAGUGACCUUGGCAAUUCUAGAUCCUGGAAGAUAUCCACUCCUAGGGCUGGUUCAGUGUCUUAUUCGUUCCUGGCGUCUACCACUAUGUGAAGCAGAGUCCCUACCACUGAGUAGAUUCCCUUGGGGGUUACACACAUCCUGUUCUAAUUCCCCGAUUCCUUGGGGAAGCACUCAGCCUGUGACGGACGGGAAGAGGAGGGGUGCAGGCCCCGAGCCCCAUAGACAGGGAGGAGAUGGGCUGAGGCUCCUCGGCGUCUGGGCUGCCCACUUCAUCUUCUCUUCUGCCCAAGUCCAUCACUCACGUGCACCGGAAUCCCCCGAGUGCCACACACUGACCCUUGGUAAGAUUCCAUUUUUUACUUCCCUGCACCGUGACCUUCCUUGGCCAGCUCCUCAUCCUUUUAUCUGCCUUCAACUGCCUGGGGGUCGGUCCUUCAUGCCCACGCUGCCAGAGAAUGCUGGCAAUAGAAAAUGCUGGAAAAUUGGAGUGCUAGGAAGGGAAAACAACAAGCUCCUGCAGGCUUUGUGAUUUUAGGUCAUCAGAAACGUCUUUCACCGUUAGCCCUUUUUCUAAUAAUCACAACAAAUGAUCAUUUUCCACUAAUUGUCCCACAAGGAAUAUUGCUGUUCAAGUUUUCUUCCAUGUACUCUUUGGCAGUCAUGCUAAUCAGCGGCGAGGACACAGCCCAAGGCCGACUGAGGGAGAAGGGGACAGGGAUGAGGAAGUCCCAUCAUUCUGACCCCCGACUGCUCACACAGAAAGAGAGACCUUUCUGGUCAGCAUCUGCUUUUCUUUAUUCCUACAUCUUCUUGGAAAUACCUUUCUUGAACUUGAAGACUCCCUUGAGACAUUAUUUUCCAGAUGAAGGACUUCUGCUGGAGUCUUUAAUUCACGACAACAAGAAGAUGAAACAUUGCCGCGCCACCUCUGGGCUCAGUGCCCUCGUGUUGGAAGUUGGCUCAAGACAGACAUUAUGUAGCUCACUUCUUUCACUCCAUGUUCAGCUCCAGUAAAUAGCUAAUUCAGGCUAAACAUUGUCUCCUCUGGUCUCUCCCUGCUCUGCCCAGGUAACCUGUGAAGACAAUGAAAAUGGAGUUGGCAUUGCUAAGAGAGCUCUCUGACAUGGAGCUGGGCAACCACUGAGCAAGUGGGACCUCAGCCUGUAUGAAGUCUGACUUUUGACCAUUUCUUGUCCUACUCAAGAUAUCUAUUGGACUCUUCCCCUAAAAUAAUGUGACACCCUAACUAUUUAUCAAACCCUUACCCUAAAACAACUUGUGACUCCUUAAAGAACAAAUAUUUCCAGACUUGCAUCAGAGUCUAUCAUUAUUCUCACCUAGCAACUUUAACAAACUUUGUUAAAGACUUCAUCUCUUUCCCAGAAUACGCUUUCAGUUUUCCCUGAAUCUGAAUCAGCGUCUCCUGAAUUGCAAUUCUUAAGACCCCAAAUAAAGUUCUUUGUUCUUUACAGCCUCGAUACUGAUUAUUGUUUGACAAAAUGAAAAUGAAUUGUUAGUUCUUUUUCAUUUACUAACUCCAUGAGUCAGGGCAAGCUAAAGAAAAGUAUGAGAGGAAAUGUGAACAAAUUUUCCGUCUUUAUGUACAGGCAAUAUCUACAACUAAUCAUGCUUUAGGAAAAUAUUUCCUUGGAACAGUCACAGAGAAGGGCUUUGUUACGAAAAGUUGAGAGCAGGGAAUUCUACAUUACACUCUGCUGAAUUAAAAAAAUGAAAGCUUCUAUAAAAUUCAGAUAACUUUAGCCAGUGAUAAUCUCACCCAGUUUCCACAUGUGUAAAAUGGGGAUUAUGAAAUUAGCUGUCUCAUGGGCUUCUUGGGACUACUUCAUAUAAUUUUUAGAAUAGUAUCUAGUACAUAGUAAGUAUUUUAUAAAUGUUAACAAUUAUUAUUAUUAUCAGCUAAUAAAAUUCCCAGUUGCUCUUAUACUAGAUGAUCCAUUAGGGAGAGGUUGCAAACUAGCAGUCUAUGAAUAGGAUGCCAUCUACACGAAGAGAGUUUUAGAAAUCUCUGUUUUCAUUGCUGCAUUUUAAAAUUGAGAGAUUUCUCACACACACAAAAAGUAUUUCCAAUUUUGCUUUAAAACAGGGGGACCUGUGACAUCAGGCCUGUAUCCUGCAAGGCAACCCUGGGCAAAAGCUGAAGGGCCCUUUCCGGGGACAUGUAUCACCAGUUUGCAAAAUCCCGCUGUGCCCUCCUGUGGUCCGCUGAGCCGUUUGCAUUUUCCCUUUCCUGUCUUACAAGCCACCAAGCACUUUCCAGGGGCUCUUCUGUUUUGUUUUGCACAGACUGUAAGAUGGGAGGGUAAGCAACACUACGCACAUUUUAUAGUUGGGAAAACUAAUGAAAGGCUAGGGUAAGUGAAUUGAGAACUGCCACAUGGUGAGUCACUUGGGAGGCUACCCUCUUCUCCAACAGCCUGCUGCUUCCCAGACCGUGUGGACAAACUCUGUCCUCGCAUUUCCUCAGAAUGUUAUUUGCUGUGAUUUGUAAGCAGCAGGGUGACUUGAUGUGCCCGUUUCAAAUGAUAAGCUAAAGAGUGACCUAAGGUGUCUAAGGAUUGUCCUCUCCACUCUGCUAAUAAACAGGGCAGUCUCUAAUUAUUUGCAUGGAGUUUGGCUCCCAAGAUAAUUCAGUGUCCGUGUGGCUCCGUUUCACCUCUGCUUAUUUCCAUUACCUUGCAUAUUAGCUGUGUCAACUUGAUGGGCCUGCUGUUCCCCAGGGUGGCUAUUAUAAAUACUGUUGCUACAGUGAAAUGCUUCCAGUCUUCUGGAACCUCAUUUGAACUAAGCAAGUUCUCUAUAACGAUCAUUAAUGAUGUAUUGCUUGCAUAUAAAUGUUGGGUAUUAAUCUUUUGUUUACUUUUUCUAUGCCAUCAGACUUUUUAGAGUUUCUUCAUAAUGUACUCUUAACUGAUGACCAGAAGCAGCUUCUCCAUUUGUGACUGAGUGACUUUUUUAGCUGCUAAUUCACAGUGGCAGGUGAAAGCUUGAUCUUGGAGCCCUGGCUGAUAGACUCGCUUCCCUUGGCAGACACCGUGACCUAGUACUCAUCAAGGUUGCAUAUUAUUAGCGCCCGGGCACAAAAUCUCACCUGAGCCUUUUUGUAAGUCUGUCAAACAGUCUACUGGUUUACGAGUUUUAUGAAUUGAGUCCAUGCCAAGAAGUUUCUGCAAGGUGACUGGAAUGAGUUUAAUGAUCAACCCUGGAAGGAGGGACAUUGUGGGUGCUGGACACAUUCCAGUCCUUUUUAACAGGAAGGGUUGGACCCACACUAUAGUGGGUUUGAGGGUUCAUCUGGUCUGGAUUCUUUGAUAAAUGCCCUUCUACCAAGGUCCAGGUUCCAAGUACUGGAUUAAAUCUAAGAGAAUCUCUCAUGACUUGAGGCAGACUCUUCUUCCUAUAUUGAAUCAGAUGGGAAGAAAUUCCUGCUGGUUAGUUUAGUUUGACCUUACUCUGUGAAAGUGAAAGUCACUCAGUCAUGUCCGACUCUUUAAAAGCCCAUGGACUAUAUAGUUCACGGAAUUCUCCAGGCCAGAAUACUGAAAAGGGUAGCCUUUCCUUUCU